CUGACCUCAAGUGACCUGCCCGCCUCAGCCUUACAUCAGGUUUUUGAUGCCUGAUGUUAGCAUUCUUGGUAAUUUUAAGAUGAUAAUCUUAGUGAUAAAUUUUAGUAUCCAAGUUAUUUACUGCAGAACAGUAAAAUACACUGUUUGUUAUUCUAAGUUGGCAGGUAUUUUUUUAGUUUUCUGUGUGUUGGUUCAAGUAAGCUGCCCUUAUUUGUAGUAGAAUAUUUUGAGUUGGUUUGCAUGAAGUUCAUCAGGGAAUUGUUUUUGACUCUUAUUUAAACGUAGAAUUGAUUUUUGUCAGCAAGUUGACUAUAAACUGUAUUAGUGAUUUACAUAUAGGCUUAGGCCUGUUGACCUGUUUUUACAGUAUGAUGUGGUUACUGACAUUUUUACUCUUUUAUCUGGACAGGGUGGACCAAGUAAGCUAGUGCAAAAACACUUAGCUGGUUUGUUUAACAGCAUCACAUCUUUUUACCAUCCUUCAAAUAAUGGGCGCUGGCUGAACAAGUUAAUGAAACUACUUCAGCGGUUGCCAAACAGUGUUGUU
rnacentral:sRNA from 1 species